GGCGUGUGGAUUCCUUUUUAGUUGUCCCUAAAGAGAAAAAAUCAGAUCUCCUCCCUCUUCAUGUUUCUUCCCAAAGAUUGGUGAAAAGAAGAUCAUCCCUUAUCCGUACGGAGCCCGACGUGCGUGCAAAGUAGAGGGCCUGUAUUUUUAGGCCUCAUAAGGCAUUGGAUUUGAAUUUUUCUAGAGAUUUUGAUCCCUAUUCCAUUGUGAACCAAGAUAAUCUA
rnacentral:lncRNA from 1 species